AACGUAGGACACAAGCGUUAUCCGGAGUUACUGGGCGUAAAGGGCGUGUAGGCGGACCUAUAAGUCUAUUCUGAAAGCUCCUGGCUAAACUGGGAGAGGCGAAUGGAGACUGUAGAUCUAGAGUGAGGAAGAGGAAAGUGGAAUUCCGCGUGUAGUGGUGAAAUGCGUAGAGAUGCGGAGGAACACCAGUGGCGAAGGGCGGCCAACUGGUCCGGUACUGGACGCUGA
rnacentral:rRNA from 1 species